rnacentral:rRNA from 1 species
AUUGAACGCUGGCGGCAGGCCUAACACAUGCAAGUCGAGCGAGCGGCGGACGGGUGAGUAAUGUAUGGGGACUGCCCGAUAGAGGGGGAUAACUACUGGAAAAGGUAGCUAAUACCGCAUACUAUCGGAUAACCCAUAUGGGAUUAGCUAGUAGGUGAGGUAAUGGCUCACCUAGGCGGCUAUCCCUAGCUGGUCUGAGAGGGUGAUCAGCCACACUGGGACUGAGACACGGCCCAGACUCCUACGGAGGCAGCAGUGGGGAAUAUUGCACAAGUGGCGCAAGCCUGAUGCAGCCAUGCCGCGUGUGUGAAGAAGGCCCUAGGGUUGUAAAGUUCUUUCAGUCGGGAGGCGUUACCGAAAGAAAAAGCACCGGCUAACUCCGUGCCAGCAGCCGCGGUAAUUC